CGACAUUAGCUAGUUGGUAAGGUAACGGCUUACCAAGGCGACGAUGUUUAGGGGACCUAAGAGGGUUGUCCCCCACACUGGUACUGAGACACGGACCAGACUCCUACGGGAGGCAGCAGUGAGGAAUAUUGGUCAAUGGGCGCAAGCCUGAACCAGCCAUCCCGCGUGAAGGAAGAAUGCGCUACGCGUUGUAAACUUCUUUUCCAGGGGGAGAAUAAUCCUGUCGUGACAGGACUUGACGGUACUCUGGGAAUAAGCAUCGGCUAACUCCGUGCCAGCAGCCGCGGUAAUACGGAGGAUGCGAGCGUUAUCCGGAUUUAUUGGGUUUAAAGGGUGCGUAGGCGGAUUGAUAAGUCAGUGGUGAAAUUCUACAGCUUAACUGUAGACUUGCCGUUGAUACUGUUAGUCUUGAGUGUGGUCAAGGCAGGCGGAAUGUGUAAUGUAGCGGUGAAAUGCUUAGAUAUUACACAGAACACCGAUUGCGAAGGCAGCUUGCUGGGUCAUUACUGACGCUGAUGCACGAAAGCGUGGGGAUCAAACAGGAUUAGAUACCCUGGUAGUCCACGCCGUAAACUAUGAUCACUCGCUGUUGGCGAUACACAGUCAGCGGCUAAGCAAAAGCAUUAAG
rnacentral:rRNA from 1 species